rnacentral:rRNA from 1 species
UACGUAGGGGGCAAGCGUUGUCCGGAUUUAUUGGGCGUAAAGAGCGUGUAGGCGGCCAUACAGGUCCGUUGUGAAAACUGGAGGCUUAACCUCCAGACGUCGAUGGAAACCGUAUGGCUAGAGUCCGGAAGAGGAGAGUGGAAUUCCUGGUGUAGCGGUGAAAUGCGUAGAUAUCGGGAGGAACACCUGUGGCGAAAGCGGCUCACUGGACCACAACUGACGCUGAGGCGCGAAAGCUAGGGGAGCAAACAGG